UUGGGCAUUUGGUUGUUUAUGUCAGACUUUGUCUAGCUCUAUGCUGUGGAAGGUCCUUUAUGUGAUGCAGUGUGCAGAGACAGCAGACUAGAAACACUCAGUACUGCCAGAGACAUGCACUCCUGCAUUCAAGCUCUCACAGAACGAGAGCACCAGGAGCGAUUUGAGCAGUGGCUGUGUGAGGUGAACAGCUCUGACGGCAUCUACCUCCUCACAGUGCUUACACUCAUGGCUGCUCCGACCCAGCAUUCUGGACCCCCCCCCCUUCAUCACUACUAUAACCCUGCUGAUUUACCAGUCAAGUGACUGCUGGUGACUGAAGCCUGUCAGAAGUACCUUACUGACAAACCAUACAGUGGCCUCAUAUCCGAGGGAAUCAGACAGGUAUCUUACCUUGCCAAUGUCCUUCGUUUGGGCAUGUCUCCUGAAGCAUCCUUUAGUCAGUGGGCAUGGCAGCUGUUGCUGAGGCUGAAGCUCCAUAGCAAUUCCCAGAACCUUAAAGGAGCAUGGUUGGUCCCUGCUUUGACAUCCAGCCCACCUCCAGAGCUUACACAAACACUCUGAACAUGCACUCUGUUCUCAGGGCUGUAAAAGCAGGCAUCCCUAUUGGAUGCUACUUGUCCAUUGCCAUGACACCAGUAGGACACAGUCUGGAACACUUUUGUACUGACGGUAUUGGGUUGUUGAAGAGUCUGAUUCAGUCUCACCAUCUGAGAGCUGCUGUGCAUCUGCUGGAUAACAUCCUACCCCCAACCUACCAUCUCAGCUUCUGCCUACUCAACAACUCACAGGCAGUAGGGCUGAGCCCCACUCCUACACCGCUGCAUCUUCAACCCUGUGCCGCCGCCUUCAACCUCUCAGCUGACUCACCGGCCCGUCUUGGUCCUCUGAUCCUCCUGGUUCUUGCCACUCUCCUGCCUAUCCAGCCUCCACUGUUCAACCCUGGUCAGACCACAUCAACCCCAUUGACUUUGUCUUCUUCCAUUUGCCUAUAUUUUGUAAUAAAGACUCUUUUUCUACUAGCACUAUGAGUUUCCACCCUGAGUCCUCUCUCUCUCCUAGUGAGAGACACCAACCCUAACAAGCUCUCUAAUUUAAAAUACCAAGGGGAAGCCUCUGAACACCAGAUAGUCCCUCUGCAGCCUCAUAUAACUGCCGAGAAUUUCCCGUUUUUGGACUCAGUUGUGAUUUUGUGCAAGUCAGCUUUUUCUGGCAGGCAUGUGUCUAAAGCCAGACUGGACAAUGUACAAAAAGGAAUUUCCACCCUCCCAAAUUUUUAAUCUAGGCCUGUGUUGGCACAUGCACAACACAGCAAAAGCAAAUGAGCUCAGCAGCUACAGUCCCAUCUGCAUUAAGACCCCGCUGUAGCUAUCCUUCUCCGAAGGCAAAAUGAAAACAUCCUCACACCACAGCGGCAUGUAAAUCAAUUGUGAAAUAAUGUGCUCUCUUUUCCAGUGAGUUAAACAAACAGCUAUCAUUUAAACCUAAGACAUUCAGAUUCCUGUGUCAAAUGUAUUCAAAUUCAACAUCAGACAUGCAGGCAGAUCUUGCCACUAUAGUACAUAACACUGAAUAAACCAUUUCUCCUGCUGCAUGCUUGGUUCUACAUGGAAGGAGCAGGGGGCUGGGGUGUGCUGGAAAGUUGAAAUGUAUUAUAGAGGUGCAGCAGAUAUUUCAAGGACAAUUUAAUAAGGAUCAGAGUGAGAACAAUUGAUCCACAACUUCACUGUCUGUCAUCUGUGAAACAUCCUGCAGACAGACUUAACACCUGUGUACUGUUUGGUCUGUUUUAAAGUCUAGUCACAUUUAGUAUUUCUGUUGAAACUCAGCUCCAUCUGUUACAUUUCACUUGAUGUGGCUCUGUGAAGCUCAUUUUUUGUCAACCAUAUUACA